AUUGAACGCUGGCGGCAUGCCUUACACAUGCAAGUCGAACGGCAGCACGGGUGCUUGCUCCUGGAUUCAGCGGCGGACGGGUGAGUAAUGCCUAGGAAUCUGCCUGGUAGUGGGGGACAACGUUUCGAAAGGAACGCUAAUACCGCAUACAUCCUACGGGAGAAAGCAGGGGACCUUCGGGCCUUGCGCUAUCAGAUGAGCCUAGGUCGGAUUAGCUUGUUGGUGAGGUAAUGGCUCACCAAGGCGACGAUCCGUAACUGGUCUGAGAGGAUGAUCAGUCACACUGGAACUGAGACACGGUCCAGACUCCUACGGGAGGCAGCAGUGGGGAAUAUUGGACAAUGGGCGAAAGCCUGAUCCAGCCAUGCCGCGUGUGUGAAGAAGGUCUUCGGAUUGUAAAGCACUUUAAGUUGGGAGGAAGGGUUGUAGAUUAAUACUCUGCAAUUUUGACGUUACCGACAGAAUAAGCACCGGCUAACUCUGUGCCAGCCGCCGCAGUAA
rnacentral:rRNA from 1 species